rnacentral:rRNA from 1 species
UACAGAGGGUGCGAGCGUUAAUCGGAAUUACUGGGCGUAAAGGGCGCGUAGGCGGUUUAUCAAGUGAGAUGUGAAAUCCCCGGGCUUAACCUGGGACCUGCAUCUUAAACUGGUAGGCUGGAGUACUGUAGAGGAUAGUGGAAUUUCCGGUGUAGCGGUGAAAUGCGUAGAGAUCGGAAGGAACAUCAGUGGCGAAGGCGACUGUCUGGACAGAUACUGACGCUGAGGCGCGAAAGCGUGGGGAGCAAACAGG